GACAGAGGAUGCAAGCGUUAUCCGGAAUGAUUGGGCGUAAAGCGUCUGUAGGUGGCUUUUUAAGUCCGCCGUCAAAUCCCAGGGCUCAACCCUGGACAGGCGGUGGGAACUACCAAGCUGGAGUACGGUAGGGGCAGAGGGAAUUCCCGGUGUAGCGGUGAAAUGCGUAGAGAUCGGGAGGAACACCAGUGGCGAAGGCGGCACCCUGGACCAGCACUGACACUGAGGCACGAAAGCGUGGGGAGCAAACAGG
rnacentral:rRNA from 1 species